rnacentral:miRNA from 15 species
GUCCAGUAUAGCGGUGACAAUG